rnacentral:rRNA from 1 species
GACGAACGCUGGCGGCGUGCUUAACACAUGCAAGUCGAACGGUAAGGCCCUUCGGGGUACACGAGUGGCGAACGGGUGAGUAACGCGUGAGUAACCUGCCCUUGACUCUGGGAUAACAGAUGGAAACGUCUGCUAAUACCGGUUACUCAGCCUUGUGGGCAUCCACAGGGUUGGAAAGCUCCGGCGGGUCAAGGAUGGACUCGCGUCCUAUCAGCUAGUUGUGGGGGUAAUGGCCUACCAAGGCGACGACGGGUAGCCGGCCUGAGAGGGCGACCGGCCACAUUGGGACUGAGAUACGGCCCAGACUCCUACGGGAGGCAGCAGUGGGGAAUAUUGCACAAUGGGCGCAAGCCUGAUGCAGCAACG